rnacentral:rRNA from 1 species
UAAAGGUAUAAAGGGCUCACGGAGGAUGCCUUGGUAGCGGGAGGCGAAGAAGGGCGUGGCCAGCUGCGAAAAGCCGCGUGUAGGUGCAAGCGACCAUAGAAGCGCGGAUGCCCGAAUGGGGAAACCCACCAGGUAGAGAUACUUGGUAUCCUGAAAAGGAAGCGAACCUUGCGAACUGAAACAUCUUAGUAGCGAGAGGAAAAGAAAUCGAAGAGAUUCCCUGAGUAGCGGCGAGCGAAACGGGAAGAGCCUAAACCUAUAUAGUGUAAGCGUACGGGCGUUGCUAUAUAGGGGUAGAGGGAUAUAUGCGGGCCUGACCGUACAGGGCCGGGAGAAGCUAAAGGCUAGUCGAACUAUCUGGGAAGAUAGACCGGAGAAGGUGAAAGUCCUGUAGGCGAAAGUCAGAGGCUAUCCUUGGAUAUAUCCCGAGUAGCGCGGGGCACGAGAAAUCCCGUGUGAAUCUGGGGAGACCACUCUCUAAGGCUAAAUACUACCUGCUGACCGAUAGUGCAAAAGUACCGUGAGGGAAAGGUGAAAAGCACCCCGGGAGGGGAGUGAAAGAGUACCUGAAACCGUGAGUCUACAAUAAGUGGGAGCACGAAAGUGCGACCGCGUGCCUUUUGAUUAAUGAGCCUGCGAGUUACCGUAACUGGCGAGGUUAAUCCGAGAGAGGAGAAGCCGAAGGGAAACCGAGUCUUAAUAGGGCGGAAGUCAGUUGCGAUAGACCCGAAACCGGGUGAGCUAUCCAUGGGCAGGUUGAAGGUGGGGUAACACCCACUGGAGGACCGAACCAGUUAGCAGUAAAAAGCUAUUGGAUGACCUGUGGAUAGGAGUGAAAAGCUAACCGAACUCGGUGAUAUCUGGUACUCCUCGAAACGUGUCUAAGCACGGCCUUGCAUGGUUAGUAGAGGGGGUAGAGCACUGAUUGGGCUAGGGGGGCGACCUCCAACCCCAGUCAAACUCCGAAUACCUCUACUCAAAGUGCAGGAGACAGACUGCGAGCGAUAAGGUCCGUAGUCGAGAGGGAAACAGCCCAGACCACCAGCUAAGGGCCCAGAGAGAUAGCUAAGUGUUAAAGGAAGUGGAGAGUCAAAGACAGCUAGGAUGUUGGCUUAGAAGCAGCCAUCAUUAAAAGAGUGCGUAACAGCUCACUAGUCGAGACUCACCGCGCCGAAGAUGUAAGGGGGCUAAAGCUAUCCUCCGAAGCUGUGGAACAGGAAACUGUUGGUAGAGGAGCAUUGUGUUGUAGGGAGAAGGUAGACCCGUGAGGGCUGCUGGACGAGACACAAGAGAGAAUGCAGGCAUGAGUAAACGAGAGGAGAGUGAGAAUCUCUCCCCCCGAAAGCCUAAGGGUACCUGGGGAAGGUUCGUCCACCCAGGGUUAGUCGAGACCCUAAGGGGAACCCGAAAGGGGUAACCGAUGGGAAACCGGUUAAUAUUCCGGUACUGGCGUAACAUGAGUUUUGGGGUGUGACACAGGAGGAUAGGCGUUGCGUACUAGUUGCAUAGUGCGUCUAAGUUUCUAGUCCGAUGAUCGCGGCAGGGAAAUCCACCGCAGGAGGGUGAGGGACGAAUGGGAGUUCCUUCGGGAGCGACAAUGUUGAGUUCAUACUGUCGAGAAAAGCAUCGCAAAGCGUUUGAGUGUUGAGCCAAUCGUUCUGAAAACCGACACAGGUAGGCAAGCUGAGAAGGCUAAGGGGAGCGGGAUAACUCCUGUUAAGGAACUAGGCAAAUUAGCCCCGUAACUUCGGGAGAAGGGGUACUCUGGUUGGUUAAGAGCUGACUGGAGUCGCAGUGACAAGGCAGCGGCGACUGUUUACCAAAAACACAGGGCUCUGCGAAUUCGAUAAGAAGACGUAUAGGGUCUGACGCCUGCCCAGUGCUGGAAGGUUAAGGGGAAAGGUUAGCGUAAGCGAAGCUUUGAACCGAAGCCCCAGUAAACGGCGGCCGUAACUAUAACGGUCCUAAGGUAGCGAAAUUCCUUGUCGG